AGAAUCAACGCUGGCGGCGUGCCUAACACAUGCAAGUCGAACGAGAAAGGGUAGCAAUACCUGAGUAAAGUGGCGCACGGGUGAGUAACACGUGACUAACCUACCCUGGAGUGGGGGAUAACUGAGGGAAACCUUAGCUAAUACCGCAUAAUACCUACGGGUCAAAGGAGCAAUUCGCUUCAGGAGGGGGUCGCGGCCGAUUAGUUAGUUGGCGGGGUAAUGGCCCACCAAGACAGUGAUCGGUAUCCGGCCUGAGAGGGCGCACGGACACACUGGAACUGAAACACGGUCCAGACUCCUACGGGAGGCAGCAGUGGGAAUUUUGCGCAAUGGGGGAAACCCUGACGCAGCAACGCCGCGUGGAGGAUGAAGUCCUUCGGGACGUAACUCCUUUCGAUCGGGACGAUUAUGACGGUACCGGAAGAAGAAGCCCGGCUAACUUCGCGCCACGCAGCCGC
rnacentral:rRNA from 1 species